rnacentral:rRNA from 1 species
GACGAACGCUGGCGGCGUGCUUAACACAUGCAAGUCGAACGGAAAGGCCCUGCUGUUGUGGGGUUCUCGAGUGGCGAACGGGUGAGUAACACGUGAGUAACCUGCCCUUGACUUUGGGAUAACUUCAGGAAACUGGGGCUAAUACCGGAUAGGAGCUCCUGCUGCAGGGUGGGGGGUGGAAAGUUUCGGCGGUUGGGGAUGGACUCGCGGCUUAUCAGCUUGUUGGUGGGGUAGUGGCUUACCAAGGCUUUGACGGGUAGCCGGCCUGAGAGGGUGACCGGCCCCAUUGGGACUGCGAUACGGCCCAGACUCCUACGGGAGGCAGCAGUGGGGAAUCUUGCCCAAUGGGCGGAAGCCUGAUGCAGCAACGCCGCGUGCGGGAUGACGGCCUUCGGGUUGUAAACCGCUUUCGCCUGUGACGAAGCGUGAGUGACGGUAAUGGGUAAAGAAGCACCGGCUAACUACGUG